rnacentral:lncRNA from 1 species
AAGUGCUGGAAUUAAAGGCCUCACCUGGCCUUUAUUUACUCUUUUAUCUUUUUUUUAAUAACACUUUUAACUCUUUUUUUUUUUUUUGCCUGUGUAUGUAUGUGAGUGUUAAUUCUUAUAUAGCUUAGCAUCUUUGUGGAAGUCAGAGGACAGUUUAUGGGAAUCUAUACUCUCCUUCCACCAUGUAGAUCCCAAGACUUGGCGGCUCUGAGCCAUCUUUAGCUCUUCAAUUUUUUUGACACGGUCUCACUGUACCCCCAAACUGGCAUGGGCAGACACACCACAUAUACUGACUUUAAAUACCUGAGUAAUUCACCUGCCUCAGACUUGAGUGAUGGUGUUACAGGUGUGAACCAUCAUACCCAGUAGUAACUUGUAACCUUUCAAAUAAUGUGCCUUCCAGCCUGUUAUGAAGGAUAAGGAGCUGGAACAAAAGAGGUGGUCAGGAGAAUCACUUUAAUGAGCUCAAGAGCAGCCUAGUUAAUACACCAAGCAAGUUCAGUAUCUCAUCACAAGAAAAAAGAAAAGGCAAAAAAAACAUAAAAUAUAACAAAGAAGAAUGAGAAAAUGUUUUAUGUACCACUGUCUCCUAGAAAUUUUACUUUUUUACUUUCAAUUUAUUAGUAACUUCAUAAUCUCUUUUUCAUUAGUUUAUUUAUUUAUUCACUUUACAUCCCAAUCACAGUCCUGCCCCCUUCUCUCCUCCCAAUCCCACCCUAACAAAUCCCUCCUCCCCAUUACCAGCCCCUCUUCUCCUGAGAGAAGAAGGCCCCGCCCUGGGACUGGGUUACCACCACCACCACCCAGAACAUCAAGUUGCAGCAUAUCUGAGGGGAUCUUCUUCCACUGAGACCCGACCAUGCAGUCCAGCUAGGGCAAAGGUAUCCAAAGGCAGGCAACCAAGUUAGAGACAGUUCCUGCUAAAAUUGUUAGGGGCUCAGAUAAAGACCACGCUGCACAUCUGCUGCAAAUAUGUAGGUGGCCUAGCUCCAGCACCUGCAUAGUUGUCUGUUGGUGGUUCAGUCUCUGUGAGCUCCCCCUGGGCCCAGUUUUGUUGACUCAGUGGAUCUUCUUGUUGUGUCUUUGACCCCCUCCAGAUCACUCAAUUCUAUCCCCUACUCUUCCACAAGACUCCCCAAACUCAUUUGAUAUUUGGCUGUGGGUCUCUGCAUCUGUUUCCAUCUGCUUCUUGAUGAAGCCUCUCCAGAGACAGUUAUGCUAGUCUCCUGACUACUAGCAUGACAGAGUAUCAUUAAUAGUAUCAGGGUUAGCUCUCUCCCGUGAGAUAGGUCUCAAGUUGGGCCUGUUAUUGCUUGGAAGUUCCCUCAGUCUCUGCUCUAUCUUUAUCCCUACACAUCUUGUAGGCAGGACAAACUUUGGGUUGAAGGUUUUGUUAGGUGGGUUGAUGUCCCCCUCCUGCCACUACAAAACAUUUUAUCCUAAAACAAAAGGAUAUACCUUCUUCUCAGCACCUCAUGGUACCUUCUCCAAAAUUGACCAUAUAAUUGGUCAAAAAACAAGCCUCAACAGAUACAAAAAUAUUGAAAUUGUCCCGUGCAUCCUAUUAGAUCACCAUAGACUAAGGCUGAUCUUCAAU